ensembl:lncRNA
CACUGACCUAUUGGGACAGCCAUCUGUUUUAGAUUGCUGGAAGAAAUUCUGAUUUCUGCAACAAAGGGGCUGAGGAAUUUGAACCUUGCACCCACACCCCAGGAAUUGUUUGAUGAGAUGGUGGGAAAGAGCAGAAAGAGGCUGCGUCAGCGGGCAUGAGAAUCCAACUAGCCACACACAAGGUUCUUGAAAUCAUAAGGCCAGGCACUAGAGAAAUGGAAGAAGCGUUUUUCCAGCUUUACCAAGAAUUCACACAACUGCAGGAUUUAUGUGCAAAGCAGGCUCAGCUGCUACAGAAGUUAAUUGUGAAGAAGGAACCAAUGACUGACAUGCCAAUUUCGAUGCCAAUCCAGUGCACAGACGACGGGGGAUUAGCGCAAUCAGAGCGAAUCAUCUUCAAACAGCAAUUACCAAAGGUUCCCAGCUCUAUCCUUUCCAACCCAACAGUUCCUACAUGGCCCAACUCCGCAGUUCUUCGGGACCAGCCACAAGAUGCACACAUGGUUUCUAGUUUUGAUAUUAAGUACCCCCCGAGUGCAGCAAACGCCAGCUUGUUAAGCAGUGCCAAGGGGAAGGCAGAUUUCGCAAUAGCACUUUCCAGCCAGAACCACCACAAACCACACAUGGGCAAGAAGGCGGCUUGUGACACGCUGUUGAAAAAUUAUAUGACGUUUCCUGCCUUGAAAGCGGACAAAGAGAAAUCCACAGCCCCUCCCAUACUUCCAGAGCUUGCUGCCCUAAAUCCGGAGGACGUAGGCUCCUUUCCCAGUUUCUUGGAUCUUUAUGAAGCACCACAAGAUUUACAGACAGGAAGUACUUCCCUUCAAGCAGCAGAAAUUAACGUUCCUAUAGAAAUACGAGGACCCACACAGCCUCUUCCAAAGGACUUCAUCCAAACCCUUUUGAAAAAUAGAUGAUUUGGGCCCUCUAGGACUUCCUGGACUCCAGGAUGGGUGGUAGAAGACAGUCCACUUGAUCACAGCGGGGAUUUUGAAGUCCAAGGGUACUCUGCAUACACAGACCUGUGACUUUUGCCAAGUCAUUUCCCCAGCGCGGGAAGCAGCGCAAGGCGACUAUUAAAAGCAACUCAUAGCUCAUACUGAAUAGCGUUGGUAUCAUCAUGUACUUGUAACCCAGCUUACAGAGGAUGGCUUUCCACCCCCCUUUAGUGGCUGGACAACAUGAGGGUUUAUGAGCCUCCUGUAGAGCUGUUGGAUUAAGGGAAUUCUUGACGCAGUGGCUGAACUGAAGCAUUGUGAAAAAAAAAAUUUGGUUUGGGUUGACCUGAAAUGAAAAUGGUUCAAUUUUUCCAGCAAAGCUCAAAAAGUAAAAAAAGAAUUUGGUUUGAAUUGAACGAAACAUUUAAUUUCAUUUCUGAGUUUUUAUCUUUUUCAUCUUUUUCAAAUAGCAAUUUGAGAAAAGGAAGUGAAAUUCUCAGAUGAAAUGUUUCAUUUUGGAAAUGACAAAAAAAAUGAACCAUUUCAACAUUUCUGAUUUUUUUGAUAUUUUUUGAUAUUUGACCCAAUUUGAUAUUCACUAAUAUUGACUCAAAUUUGUGAAUUGUUUCCAUCAGCCCAAAUCUGCAUUUUUUGGGGCGGCAGCAGAAAUGAAUCACGUGAAAAAUAGAUUGUCGAGCUCUGUUUGCUUUGAGCUGGAUCUUUUAGCUCAGGCAGUUGUGGCUCAGAUGUUUGUGCUGACAAAGAGAAAAUAAUAUCUGCUUCUCCUCCCAGAAAUGUAACCUCUCCAAUAAAGGAAUGUCCAAGCUUGUUAAUUCUCCUAAA